rnacentral:rRNA from 1 species
UACGGAGGGUCCGAGCGUUAUCCGGAAUCAUUGGGUUUAAAGGGUCCGCAGGCGGGCCAGUAAGUCAGAGGUGAAAGUUUGCGGCUCAACCGUAAAAUUGCCUUUGAUACUGCUGGUCUUGAGUUACAGUGAAGUGGCUGGAAUAUGUGGUGUAGCGGUGAAAUGCAUAGAGAUCACAUAGAACACCGAUUGCGAAGGCAGGUCACUAACUGUAUACUGACGCUGAUGGACGAAAGCGUGGGGAGCGAACGGG